UACAGAGGUUCCAAGCGUUGUUCGGAUUCACUGGGCGUAAAGGGUGCGCAGGUGGGCUGGUAAGUUCGAUGUGAAAGCCCCGGGCUUAACCCGGGAAUGGCAUUGGAUACUACUGGUCUGGAGGAUCGGAGGGGGGACUGGAAUUCUUGGUGUAGCAGUGAAAUGCGUAGAUAUCAAGAGGAACACCAGUGGCGAAGGCGAGUCCCUGGACGAUACCUGACACUGAGGCACGAAAGCCAAGGGAGCAAACAGG
rnacentral:rRNA from 1 species